rnacentral:rRNA from 1 species
CCUACGGGAGGCAGCAGUGAGGAAUAUUGGUCAAUGGGCGCGAGCCUGAACCAGCCAAGUAGCGUGAAGGAUGACUGCCCUACGGGUUGUAAACUUCUUUUAUAAAGGAAUAAAGUGAGGCACGUGUGCCGUUUUGUAUGUACUUUAUGAAUAAGGAUCGGCUAACUCCGUGCCAGCAGCCGCGGGAAUACGGAGGGUCCGAGCGUUAUCCGGAUUUAUUGGGGUUAAAGGGAGCGGAGAUGGGUUGUUAAGUCCGUUGUGAAAGUUUGCGGGUCAAACGUAAAAGUGCAAUUGAUACUGGCAGCCUUGAGUACAGUUGAGGUAGGCGGAAUUCGUGGUGUAGCGGUGAAAUGCUUAGAUAUCACGAAGAACUCCGAUUGCGAAGGCAGCUUACUAAACUGCCACUGACAUUGAUGCUCGAAAGUGUGGGUAUCAAACAGGAUUAGAUACCCUGGUAGUC